UGCUUGUACCCUGGCCAGAUUUCAAUGCGCCAAGUUAUAUUCAAUUUUCCUAAAAAUAUGCUUUUAUUGUAGAAUAGGUAUUCCUUCCUGCUGGACUCAACCUCAAAUAUUGUGUGUUUUAAAAGGCUGUAUCAUUCCAGCAUUUAAAUUUUUCCUUUGCAAAAGUUGAGUCUCCUUUUAAAUCACAGGUGAGAAAGACUUUGAGACCCUCCAGAGUACAUGGAGCCACAGAAAUGCCAUCAAGUUACUGGUACUAAUGAACAAGAGGAUUUCUUGCAGCUCCUUUUAGGUCAUUUGGACAUUGCUCAAGCACACCUGAAGAGUCAAAACCUGGUGAGGUCACUGUACCUGGCUCCCUGCCCAAGGAUGUUGGCACCAAGAAAUUGGCACUGUUUUGAUAGACAAUGGAGAGGGAUUCAUUUGACUUGUGCAAUGGCCAGUCUGCAGGUGCUGAAAAACCUGGAAGUGAACCUUUUUUAUUAGAGGUACCUUUCCAAAGGAGAACACAUUUUUUUGAUAGCAGUGUUAACUGGAGCACAAUGCCUGCUUUCCUUCAAGAGGUCCUUCAGGCCAGCUGGAGCUCGUGGAGGUGGGUGUGGUGCUGCAGGCCACAGGCAGUGGGGAUGCUCAAGGAGAGGAGCCAGCCAGGCCACCUGGUCUCCUGCAGAAGCACAACCUCAACACCCCGGUGCAGAACUCCUUCCCAGCACCAAGAGGCUUAAUUGAGGCUCCUUGGUCUUAAUUUUUCAGAGGACAGACCUACUUAUCUCCAAACAGCUUCAGGGAGAGAUGGCGGCACUUGGGAACAGUACAAAUCAAAGUAAUUGUUAUUUAUUUCAAUUUUUUAAAGCCUGAAUUGCACAAGUACCUCUGUGAUUGAUAAGGUUUAUGACAGUAGUGCCUAGGGAGCUUCUUGGAAUGAGUUUCCCAUGCAGAUGGGAAGUGAAAGUCUUCCUCUCGCUGUUCCCAGUUUCUUUCCUUUCCCAGACAUGGUGAAGCUCUUCCGCUUUCUGGGCCCCUCCUUUGACCCCAGAUUAUCAACCCAGUGUGUAACUCCAUUGUGCUUUUCAUUCUUGUUGGAAAUGGCAGCGGUUCUGGGCUAGCCUGAUUUCCAGCACCAUUUCUGUGUGGAUUUGCUGAUGUUGAAUUAAGAACAAACUUAGCCUUUCCCUCAGUAGUAGCAUUCAUAGGGUUGUCUGCCAUUACCUGGUUCCUAUUGUAUUAAAAUUUGCCUGGAAUUAAGCAUCUUUCAGGCUUCUACUGUGUGUUCUUGGUUUGUUUGAAAUUAGCCAGAAGGUUUAAACUUGGGAAGUGGUAGGAGAACGCAGACUUAGGAAACCAAUACGUAUCAUUUUGCUGAGAAACCAGGCUGAAAAUAAUGCUGUUUUUUCACUAUUUGUGCUUUGAUUGCUUUAGUGCUGGUAUCUGUAAAGGGUGUUUUGUUCUUAUUUUUAAUGCUUUUUAACUAAAGGAAUAUAAAAUGAUAAAUAAUCCAUGUGUAUGCUCUGUCUUGGCAUGUCAAUUUUAUUAUUGUUAUUAUUGGUACCUACAAUGUUUCUCUUGCUGUUGCCUAUGUAAUAGUGUCUCCCAAACUUGUUGUGGUUCCUUACAGAGAUUUCUUUUUAUUUUUUUUUAAAUACAACCUCUAAUUGAAAUAACAGUAAAACUCCAAUUACUUGCAUAUGUAUAAGGUGAAAUUGUAUUUUGUCUGCUUGUGACUUUUCACAUAAGAGCUA